CACGGGAUCUUCCCAACCCAGGGAUCAAACCCAUCUCACGCCUCCUACAUUGGCAGGUGGAUUCUUUACCACUAGCGCCACCUGGGAAGCCCUGGCUGAGCCCAUUCUCCUUCUCCAGGGAACAUCAACCUUGGGUCUCUCUUCUCCUAGUGCUAUUCCCUGCAGAGGCAGGAGGUCAGCGAUGGCCCUGGGCAACACCGCUUCUGCCAAAACUGACCAGCCCGAGAGGCCUGGGAGUGGGGGACAGACACCUGGAAGGGUCAUCUCCUCGGGUGGUCCACGCAGGCGGGCAGCCUGGGAGCCCUGACGCUGAGCCCAUGGCUGUUUUCCAGCUGUCUCUCAUUUAGCCUGUCGAGUGCGGUGAGGGGUCUUCCCAGGAGCUGAGUCCACGGGGCUGCGAGCCCUGCUCUCCACCACACCUCUCCGCUCCUGUACCCACACCUGGGAGCCUCUCCUCAGAUCCAACAUCUGAAGCUGAUGCCCCGGCGUCCAGGGUAUCUAGGGGCUUGCACAGAGCCCCCCCACACCCACCCUGAGAGCUGGAAAUUGGAGCAAACAGAGGGGCCAGACCGGCAAGAGAUGUCAGAUCAUUUCUCCACCAUGAGGAGGAAAGCGACCCCAGUGAACCCUGUAGCUCUUACAGACACCGGCUUCCGUGCAGAAUGGCAAAAAACUGUGGGGUCAAGAAGAGUCUGAGCGAAGCCAGCUUCCAACACCUCCAGCCCCCAGAUUUCUGCGGCCCCUGAUGCUGCUGGAACCCAAGAGCACCCCCCCGACCCCAGGAGCCCAUCCCCUCCUCCCCGGGAGCAUGGCUGUCAUCCUCAGUGGAGCUCUUGUUCAGACUCUUUCUCCCUGGAGGGUGGAUCCCCAGGUGUCUCAGGCUCAGCCCUUCCAUGUCAAAGACCAUCACAGCCGUGUCGACCCUCCUGCCCAGCUGCACAGGACACAGCAGGAACUCGGGUCAGAUGAUGGCUCCAGCCAGGAGAUCCUGGCCAGAGAGCGCCCCUGAGGAUCCCUCCCUCCACCGUCCUGCCCCCUCCCCCAGCUGCCCACAGCAUUUUCCAAACAGACAGAGCCCAUCCAGGGUCUAAGGAGGUGCCACCUCUGAGCCUUAGCGUGGUGGCCUUCACACACUGCUCAACACUGUAGCCUGGAAUGAGUUAACUGUGAUUAAAGACAUCAUUUGUUCACUGGGCA